rnacentral:lncRNA from 1 species
AGCUCGACUGGUAUUGUCUGCUUCUAUUUGUGAAAAGAACUUUUUUUCUUUUUUUUAAAAAAAGGAUUUUUAUUAUGGUUCAGAAACUGUUUUAGACAGAAGGUGAUAACAACAAUGAAUUGUGUCUGCUUCUAUUUGUGAAAAGAACUUUUUAUUCCCAUGUCUUUUAGUAAAUAAUGUUUUAACCCUGGGUGGUCAGUCAUGAUGUUGAAUU